GGGUUGUGAGGUUAAGCGACUAAGCGUACACGGUGGAUGCCCUGGCAGUCAGAGGCGAUGAAGGACGUGCUAAUCUGCGAUAAGCGUCGGUAAGGUGAUAUGAACCGUUAUAACCGGCGAUUUCCGAAUGGGGAAACCCAGUGUGUUUCGACACACUAUCAUUAACUGAAUCCAUAGGUUAAUGAGGCGAACCGGGGGAACUGAAACAUCUAAGUACCCCGAGGAAAAGAAAUCAACCGAGAUUCCCCCAGUAGCGGCGAGCGAACGGGGAGCAGCCCAGAGCCUGAAUCAGUGUGUGUGUUAGUGGAAGCGUCUGGAAAGGCGCGCGAUACAGGGUGACAGCCCCGUACACAAAAAUGCACAUGCUGUGAGCUCGAUGAGUAGGGCGGGACACGUGGUAUCCUGUCUGAAUAUGGGGGGACCAUCCUCCAAGGCUAAAUACUCCUGACUGACCGAUAGUGAACCAGUACCGUGAGGGAAAGGCGAAAAGAACCCCGGCGAGGGGAGUGAAAAAGAACCUGAAACCGUGUACGUACAAGCAGUGGGAGCACGCUUAGGCGUGUGACUGCGUACCUUUUGUAUAAUGGGUCAGCGACUUAUAUUCUGUAGCAAGGUUAACCGAAUAGGGGAGCCGAAGGGAAACCGAGUCUUAACUGGGCGUUAAGUUGCAGGGUAUAGACCCGAAACCCGGUGAUCUAGCCAUGGGCAGGUUGAAGGUUGGGUAACACUAACUGGAGGACCGAACCGACUAAUGUUGAAAAAUUAGCGGAUGACUUGUGGCUGGGGGUGAAAGGCCAAUCAAACCGGGAGAUAGCUGGUUCUCCCCGAAAGCUAUUUAGGUAGCGCCUCGUGAAUUCAUCUCCGGGGGUAGAGCACUGUUUCGGCAAGGGGGUCAUCCCGACUUACCAACCCGAUGCAAACUGCGAAUACCGGAGAAUGUUAUCACGGGAGACACACGGCGGGUGCUAACGUCCGUCGUGAAGAGGGAAACAACCCAGACCGCCAGCUAAGGUCCCAAAGUCAUGGUUAAGUGGGAAACGAUGUGGGAAGGCCCAGACAGCCAGGAUGUUGGCUUAGAAGCAGCCAUCAUUUAAAGAAAGCGUAAUAGCUCACUGGUCGAGUCGGCCUGCGCGGAAGAUGUAACGGGGCUAAACCAUGCACCGAAGCUGCGGCAGCGACGCUUAUGCGUUGUUGGGUAGGGGAGCGUUCUGUAAGCCUGUGAAGGUGUGCUGUGAGGCAUGCUGGAGGUAUCAGAAGUGCGAAUGCUGACAUAAGUAACGAUAAAGCGGGUGAAAAGCCCGCUCGCCGGAAGACCAAGGGUUCCUGUCCAACGUUAAUCGGGGCAGGGUGAGUCGACCCCUAAGGCGAGGCCGAAAGGCGUAGUCGAUGGGAAACAGGUUAAUAUUCCUGUACUUGGUGUUACUGCGAAGGGGGGACGGAGAAGGCUAUGUUGGCCGGGCGACGGUUGUCCCGGUUUAAGCGUGUAGGCUGGUUUUCCAGGCAAAUCCGGAAAAUCAAGGCUGAGGCGUGAUGACGAGGCACUACGGUGCUGAAGCAACAAAUGCCCUGCUUCCAGGAAAAGCCUCUAAGCAUCAGGUAACAUCAAAUCGUACCCCAAACCGACACAGGUGGUCAGGUAGAGAAUACCAAGGCGCUUGAGAGAACUCGGGUGAAGGAACUAGGCAAAAUGGUGCCGUAACUUCGGGAGAAGGCACGCUGAUAUGUAGGUGAGGUCCCUCGCGGAUGGAGCUGAAAUCAGUCGAAGAUACCAGCUGGCUGCAACUGUUUAUUAAAAACACAGCACUGUGCAAACACGAAAGUGGACGUAUACGGUGUGACGCCUGCCCGGUGCCGGAAGGUUAAUUGAUGGGGUUAGCGCAAGCGAAGCUCUUGAUCGAAGCCCCGGUAAACGGCGGCCGUAACUAUAACGGUCCUAAGGUAGCGAAAUUCCUUGUCGGGUAAGUUCCGACCUGCACGAAUGGCGUAAUGAUGGCCAGGCUGUCUCCACCCGAGACUCAGUGAAAUUGAACUCGCUGUGAAGAUGCAGUGUACCCGCGGCAAGACGGAAAGACCCCGUGAACCUUUACUAUAGCUUGACACUGAACAUUGAGCCUUGAUGUGUAGGAUAGGUGGGAGGCUUUGAAGUGUGGACGCCAGUCUGCAUGGAGCCGACCUUGAAAUACCACCCUUUAAUGUUUGAUGUUCUAACGUUGACCCGUAAUCCGGGUUGCGGACAGUGUCUGGUGGGUAGUUUGACUGGGGCGGUCUCCUCCUAAAGAGUAACGGAGGAGCACGAAGGUUGGCUAAUCCUGGUCGGACAUCAGGAGGUUAGUGCAAUGGCAUAAGCCAGCUUGACUGCGAGCGUGACGGCGCGAGCAGGUGCGAAAGCAGGUCAUAGUGAUCCGGUGGUUCUGAAUGGAAGGGCCAUCGCUCAACGGAUAAAAGGUACUCCGGGGAUAACAGGCUGAUACCGCCCAAGAGUUCAUAUCGACGGCGGUGUUUGGCACCUCGAUGUCGGCUCAUCACAUCCUGGGGCUGAAGUAGGUCCCAAGGGUAUGGCUGUUCGCCAUUUAAAGUGGUACGCGAGCUGGGUUUAGAACGUCGUGAGACAGUUCGGUCCCUAUCUGCCGUGGGCGCUGGAGAACUGAGGGGGGCUGCUCCUAGUACGAGAGGACCGGAGUGGACGCAUCACUGGUGUUCGGGUUGUCAUGCCAAUGGCACUGCCCGGUAGCUAAAUGCGGAAGAGAUAAGUGCUGAAAGCAUCUAAGCACGAAACUUGCC
rnacentral:rRNA from 1 species